UACGUAGGGUGCAAGCGUUGUCCGGAAUUAUUGGGCGUAAAGAGCUCGUAGGUGGUUUGUCGCGUCGGCUGUGAAAACUCGGGGCUCAACCCCGAGCCUGCAGUCGAUACGGGCAGACUUGAGUGCGGUAGGGGAGACUGGAAUUCCUGGUGUAGCGGUGAAAUGCGCAGAUAUCAGGAGGAACACCGGCGGCGAAGGCGGUUCUCUGGGAAUGACCUGACGCUGAGGAGCGAAAGUGUGGGGAGCGAACAGG
rnacentral:rRNA from 1 species